GUUAUUUAUGGAUCUUUUUGUGUCAUUUUUUGGAACUUUUGGGGUAAUUUUGGGAUCUUUUAGUAUCAUUUUUCCGCUUAAGAGUUUGAUUUUUUGGAGUUUUUAGUGUCAUUUUUGAAUCUCUUGAUGUACAUUUUGUAUAUUUGAGGUCAUUUUAGAUCUUUUGGGGUCAUUUUUGCAUCUCUUAGUGUCGUUUUUCUUUUUCUUUUACAGUGUUAUUUCCAUCUCUUAGUGUUAUUUUUCACACUUUUAGUGUCAUUUUUGAAUCCCCUGAGGUAAAUUUUGUAUCUUUUGAGGACAUUUUAGAUCUUUUGGGGUGAUUUUUGCAUCUCUUAAGGUCCUUACACACCGGGUGCGAUGCGAAUAAACGAUGCGAAAUUGCGAAAUAUUCGGAUUUGAGUUUUGACCCACCUGGCCACACAUAUCAAGCACGAUGCGUUUUUUUGACUUUCCGAAGGGGAGGAAGACGUGUCCCAGGAGGAAGCGAAAAAGGAAAAAAAGAAAAAGAAGCGCAGCACAUGGGUGCACCCAAUACUACAAGAAAGAAGAGAACUUGGUGAGUUCCACUGCUUGGUUCAGGAGCUUAAACUAUACCACGGUCGCUUCAGAACUUAUUUUUGGAUGUCCGUCGGCCAGUUUGAGGUUCUUCUGAAACAGCUAGCUCCAAGUUUGAAGAAGCAAAGGAGUAAUUUCAGGGAGCCGAUUGAUCGGAGCAGCGACUGGCCGUGUGUCUGAGGGCUGGACUCUGAUCAUACAUGUAAAGGUUGAAGCAGAUUGGAGCACGUACAGGUCAGUUACACAGCACUUCCUGUCACGAACUCAGAGGACGGACCCGAACAGAGAGCCACACUACCAAGGCCGGUGGAACUGAGAAGGAGUUUUAUUGUAAAGGGGUGAAUAGUGGCUCAGUGGGGGGAAACCAGGAUGCAGGAGCGGGGGGCGGAGAAGGAUGGCUCACCAGUGGUGUUCUGGGAGGUUCCGGGAGAUGCAGCACACAUUGACACAGAGGGUCUAUAUUACCUUGAUGAUCGACAAACUGAACAGUUGAUCCUAAAAAUGAAGAAACGCCAGACAUCAGAGGAUUCUCCAUCAACAAGUGCUAAAGUCCAAUAAGGAAAGAGAAAGUCAGAUCUUCAGGGUGAGUCCAGUAAAGGACAAUCAUCCAGAAAACGACGUGUCCAUGAAGCACAACCAGACAGAGAAGCGUUCAUACUGUUUGAUGUAAAGAAGAUUAUGAGAUCUGUCCUUAAGAAACUGCCCGACCAAGGCAACACAAAGCUGAAUGAGUUCCUGAGAAAUAAAGGAACUGGCUUCACUGUUCCAGUACUUUUGGAGGGGACUGUACAUGUGGUCUUUUGUUGAUACAGAGAUAAACUAUUGAAUAUCUCCAUUUAUAAAUGAAACAACAGCAGGCUGGACUAAAAUCCACGAUUUGAAGACAGACAAGAGGGAAGUGAUCGGUGUUUUUGGCAGAACUGGGGCUGGAAAGAGCUCUUUGAUAAAUGUCAUCAUUGGAGAGGAGGAUCUGUUGCCUACUGCAGACGAUGGUGCCUGUACCUCCGUCAUGAUUAAAGUGGAGUCAAACCGUAACAGCUUAAAGUACAAAGCAAAAAUCAAGUUCAUUAGACCAGAGUACUUCCUGUUCUAAUAAUGUUCUGGAGGGUUCCAUGGUGUGUUCCAACUCUACUUUCUGCAGACUGAGGGAGUGGAAGGAAUCUAGAAAAGUUGGACACCUGUAGGAUUUGGUAGCUCCAACCUUCAAGACUUCAUCCUCCAUUGGUGCAGAGCAGCUUUAAGUUAACCAUGAAAACGGCCUUUUUGUGUAAUUCUGAAGUGUACGUUGUUUUUCAGUUCUGGGUAACCUGAACUUUUUUUUUUUUUUACCUCUGGCAGUUCACCACUUACCUUUGGACCAUUUCAAGCUCUUCAUUGGACCUGAACUACUUCAAUUUCGAUUAAAAAAAAUGGAAAAAUUGGGAUGUUCUAAAAUACUCAUGAAAAUAAAGAGAAACCAUUAAAUGAGAAAGUGUGUCCAAACCUUUGACCGGUAGUGUGUAUAUACAUCUAACAUGUGUGUGUUUUAUUGUAGAAGCCAAAGUCUGUUCUAGAAAAGGCUCACUGAAAAAAAUGAGGGACACUAUUGAGAAACAUGUACGUGACAAUACCAAGAUGUUUGAGAUGGCUAAAGCUGAAAUGUUGAAGCAGCUGGAGGACUUGAAGACUAAAAUCCUGGAGACACUGCAGGAGACCUUGGAGGAAUCCAUUGAGAACUCACUGAAGACAGAUGACAGCUUAACUCCAGUCUCUUCCUACAGCUUGGAUUCCUGCCUCCUCCCUCUAACACUUUAUUUUACAACCUGAUCCAUCAUCAGUGAACUUGUGCUGCUGUAUUUUCUACCUGAAGUCUUCGGCUGCCUGUUGCAGUCUCUUCCUACAGCUUGGAUUCCUGCCUCCUCCCUCUAACACUUUAUUUUACAACCUGAUCCAUCAUCAGUGAACUUGUGCUGCUGUAUUUUCUACCUGAAGUCUUCGGCUGCCUGUUGCAGUUUCUGUUCUUGGUCAUGGAUGACUUUGUUCGUAACAAACUGACUGAAUGGGGUCUAAGCGAUUACAUUGAUCGUUUUAAAGCUCAAAAAGUUAACAAGAAUAAUCUCUAUCAUCUUAAUGAUGAAGACAUUAAAGAGUUGAUCCCAGAAGUGGGACCAAAAGCAACACUGAGGGAGAAACUGAAGCAGUUAAAGGAAGAACAAAUCACAGAACAGGAAGCAGCUGAUGUUCCCAUUGAA